UACGAAGGGGGGCUAGCGUUGCUCGGAAUCACUGGGCGUAAAGCGCACGUAGGCGGAUUGUUAAGUCAGGGGUGAAAUCCUGGAGCUCAACUCCAGAACUGCCUUUGAUACUGGCGAUCUUGAGUCCGGGAGAGGUGAGUGGAACUGCGAGUGUAGAGGUGAAAUUCGUAGAUAUUCGCAAGAACACCAGUGGCGAAGGCGGCUCACUGGCCCGGUACUGACGCUGAGGUGCGAAAGCGUGGGGAGCAACAGG
rnacentral:rRNA from 1 species